CGUCGAUGGUCGAGCGGGCGACCGCGCGGCGCCUGGCCGGCGACUGGCGCGGCGCCUGCGAAGCGGCCCGGUUCCGCGUCGAGAUCGACCCC
rnacentral:tRNA from 1 species